rnacentral:rRNA from 1 species
ACGCACGCUGGCGGCAUGCCUCACACAUGCAAGUCGCACGAGACCUUCGGGUCUAGUGGCGCACGGGUGCGUAACGCGUGGGAACCUGCCCUUAGGUUCGGAAUAACUCCCCGAAAGGGGUGCUAAUACCGGAUAAUGUCUUCGGACCAAAGAUUUAUCGCCUUUGGAUGGGCCCGCGUUGGAUUAGCUAGUUGGUAGGGUAAAAGCCUACCAAGGCGACGAUCCAUAGCUGGUCUGAGAGGAUGAUCAGCCACACUGGGACUGAGACACGGCCCAGACUCCGACGGGGGGCAGCAGUGGGGAAAUUGGGAAAAGGGGGAAAGGCCGAAUCCAGAAAGGCCGGGGGAGGGAAGAAGCCCUUAGGGUUUUAAAGCUUUUUUCCCCGGGUUGAUAAUGACAGUACCGGGAGAAUAAGCCCCGGCUAACCCCGG